GUCCAGACUGCAGUUCUUGGGUCUCCUUCUGGUGUGGUUUGCAGCAGAGAGACGAGUAGAGAUGUGGGGAAGAAGACAGCAAGAGUGAGGAAGAAAAAUUGUCAGAACAGGGCUGCUCUCUCAGGGAGAUGCUUGACCUUCAUAUGAAACACUAUAUGAAUAUUCGGAGAGUCGACAGGUCCAUGUCCACUGUUUCCAACAGUUACGAGUUGUCUGCAGGUAAACUGCUCUGUAUGAGGGUAAAAGAUGGAGUAACUGACAGUGAGGUCCCAGGGUCCUUCUAUUAAAACUGAAGUACAUCUGUAACCGAUCUGAAUUCAUAUCUUAUCUCCUUGCCAUUACACAGUGACCUGUGGCCACUAAACUUUCUCAAAAUCUGAUAGGGACCCUGACACACUAAAUCCCCUUAGCUAUUGCAAAAAGAAGGGAGAAUUUCAGCAAAAGCUCCAUUUUAUCUUUCAGCGAAGAUUUAGACCACCAGUGUGUGUUUUUUUUUCUCUUUUGCUUGUUUCUUUGUUUUUUUACAGUGUAGAUGCAGGAUACAGUUAAGCUCAUAGUGUGUACACUGCUGGGUUCACAAUUGCAUCCAUAUGGGGAAUGGACCAUUAUCAGGCUUGAGACCAGAAUGAAGUGUGAGAAAGGUGAUUCUGCUUGCUGUACAUUAAAGUAGAUGGAUGGUUGUGUUAUGGUUGUGUUAAUUCGUAUGAUCAGGUAUUACGCAGCUGCCAACGGGAUAGAAAGAAAUACAUUUAAUGAGGGGAUGUUUUCAGGGGAAAAAGUUGCUGCCAACCAUUUACCAUGUCAGACUAAUACUGAA